GUCCUCAGAAUCACUAUUCCUAGCUGAGUAUACUAAGGCUUUCUAUCUAGGUCAGUUCAUUGUGUCUGUGUCUCCUCUAAACCCUCCUUCAUCAUGCCUACCUUGAGGAAUUUAGCAAGUGAUCAUUCAUGCAAGCUAAGGGAUUUUAGCUUUCUCUGCCAUAAAGAUUAUUGCUAAAAUACAUACCAUACAACAAACCAAUCCAUUCCCCACAAAUCUGUCUGACUUCUCACAGAAUACAUGACUUUUAUUGUGUCUCUUCCUUCUGUGUUUCUCUUUCCUAACUGAACUUUGUUCUUUAUCCAUGCCUUCUUCCAAUCCUGAUAUAUUUUAUAACCUUUAGCAUUUCUGCCUAUAAUAUUUGGGUUUUCUUCUUUUCGUGUCUUUAUUUAAUAGUCCCAUACAAAUAUUUUCCCCAUAAUCACAAUGGUUUCUUUUCACUUUGCUCCAAAUUUGGAUAAACUCUACAUUGGCUAAGUUUUAGUCAUUUGCACUGCUAAGAAAGAUGACAAUUCAACAUGCUGAAGAUGACUUCCUCCCUUAUAAAGGGGCUAACACAGACAGCAAUACUGUUCAUGUUUCUGAUUCUUGAUCACAAAAAUUGCUUUAGGCAAUUACAAUCAUGUCUCCUCUGACACAUCAUAUUAUUCAAGUGAGACAGAGGAAGAAGAUGUCCUAUGUCACACAGCUGAGUGGUGACAGCUGCUUUAGCAUCAGCACACUGCGUUCCCUCUGAUUUCUUCAUUCAUCUCUAAGUAGCAGUAAAUCUAGUCAUGAAUACUGACUUUGACACUCAGCUUUCUCCACAUCCUUCCUGUCACUGCCUUUGAGACUACUUCAGAUUCUUCCCUUAGCUUCUAUUUCUCCAUUUGUAAAAUUGGGUUGAUGAGGGUAUCUUCCUUCGGUAGCUGCGACAAUAAAAACGGGAUCAUCAUGCAUCCUCCUUAGCCCCACGAGUAAGCUCCCAGUAAGUGAGGUUGUCAUCAUUACUGGAUAUUUAAGAUUCUCUACCUAUUUGAAAAACCCUAGCGACAGAGUCUCAGUUGCUUUUCUUUUUGCGUGAAUGAUCACUUGCUGAAUUCACCAAGCAGGCGCUUUAACAUUUACCUUCCUUUAUUAUGCUGGAGCAUUUUUAAUGUAGGAGGCUUCUGUGGCUUCUCACUAUGACUGCUUUGUUUGUUCAAAACUUAUACAGGUUGAGUAUCCUUUAUCUGAAAUGCUUGGGUCAGAAGUGUGUUGGGUUUCAACUGUUUUCAGAUUUUGGAAUAUUUGCUUCUAUGUAAUGAGGAAUCUUGGGAAUGGGAGCCAUGUCUAAACACAAAAUUCACUUAUGUUUCAUACACACUUAGCCACAUACACAUAACCUGAAGGUAAUCUUAUACAAUAUUUUAAAUAAUUUUAUGCAUGAAACAAAGUUUUGAAUGUGUUUUGACUGUGACCCAUCACAUGAGGUAAGAUGUGUGGAAUUUUCCAUUUGUGGCAUCAUGUCAGUACUCAAAACAUUUUGGAUUUUGGAGAAUUUCAGAUUUUGCAUUUUCAGAGUAGGUGUGUUCAAUCUGUAUAUAUGGGUCAGAUUCAGUUGUCUCCUUUAAUCCUUGGCUGAAGGAAGCCCUAAAGACUUUGGGGCCUCAAUCUCCCAUAUGCAGUGACAUUCUCAAAGCCAUUGACUCAGCUUCUCACCUGGGUUUCCUUCCAGUGAGCCACAGAUAGAAGUCACAGAUGAUGGCAGGGGCCUGCUGGCUGAUGGCAUUCCAGUACUGGGUUGUGAAGUUGCUGGUGGUAAAAUCAGCAUAUGGCCUCCUCAAAGCUCUCGCAAAUGGAAUUGGAAUUUCAAAGGUUGCCAAGACCUGGAAUCCUGGGGGAAAAAAGAGAGUAAGUGCUAGAGGAGAAUAGGAGAAUAUAAGCCCAUCAUAGUGGAAGGUAUUUACAAUGGGUCACAACAAUAAAGAUGAAGGAUUUGCUGUGUAGAGUCAAGAAUCAAUUUCUGAGAACAACGUAAAGAUUUUUAUGCUAGGCAAGUGGUUAUCUGCAAAAUGAAACAAUGUGAAUGGGUUAAGAAUUGGACCCUUUAUUUGAAACAUCUACUCUACAACAAAUUCUUGGGGAAGCACAUGUAGUCAAUAAAAGGGGGUACUGUUCAGAAAAAUAUAAAUCCACAUUUAAUUCUAAGGUUACCUAGUCUAUUCUGAAAGCCCCAAGACACAGGCUAGAAACUUUAUUUCCCUGGCUGGACCAUUACUUUCAGAACCAUUUAGAAAGUUUCUUAACGUUUUAUUUGAAUCUUUUUUAAAAGUUUAACUAAAAAAUUCUAAAGGCAAGAUUUUCUUGUUUUAGCUUACUUUAAAUAUUUCUCCAGGAAUAUGUCAGACCCAAUUGUCCACUCUGGUAUCCAGGGUUUUAUUCAUAAUAGUGUUUUUCUUUUUAUAUUAAUACUUAGAUUAAGCUUAAUUAAGAACUUUUUAUGUACAUUUGUGAAUUCAGUAGUUCUUUCGAAAAGGUACUCAUUUGAAUUCAAUUUUAAUUAAGUUAUGUAGGUUUUUGCAAAGCAUAUGCCUAAGCUCAUUAUUCAAUUAUGAUGUCAGUUAUUAUAGUAAUACGAUUAUUGCCCUACUUAAAAAAAUGCCAGCUAAAAAUCUAUCUGAAAAAUAUAACUCCUCUUCAGAGAAGAUUCUCAAGAAUCACCUGGUCCAUAGGGAUUUAUACUUUAAAAAGAUGGUGGUAAAUAAGAAAGUUAUGUACAGGUUGAUAGCAUAAGAGAUUCUGAUCUCAGCACUGAUGUUCUGAACUAUAUAUCCAUAUACUUGUUCAACAUUUCCACCUGGAGGUGUAAGAGACAUUCACAUUUAACAGCUCUAAAAUGGGCCUCCUGAUACACCCACUGCUAACCACCCCCCUCCCAAUACAUACACAAACUUGCUAUUUCACCAGUCUUCUACCUCUAACCAAAUGCUAAUUCAAUUUGUUUAGUAGUUCAGCCAAAAACUUUGGGGUUAUCCUUGAUUCUUCUCUUUCUUUAACAACCCACACACAAUUGAACAAAAUCUAUCAGCUCUCUGUUUGAAAAAUACCCAGAAUCAUAAUUUCCACCUGCUAUCUCUCUGAUCCAAACCACUACUGUAGCCUGGAAUGUUGCAAUACUGUCCUAAGUGGUCUCUGCCACUACCCCUGUAACCCUAGUCGGACCUCCAUGUAGCAGCCAGAGGGAUUCUUGUAAAAUGUAACUCAGAGUGUAUUACAGGAACGUCCCCAUUCAGAGCCCUUCAACGGAAUCUCUUCUCAUUUAGAGGCAAAGCCAUGGUCUGCAAGGGCUUGCACUCUGCAUCCUCACUCUCUCUGCCCACCACUCUGACUUCACCUCUUACCGCUCUCCCUCUCAGUGCUUCUGCUGCAGCCAUACUGGCCUCCUUGCUGUCCUUGAAUAUGAUUAAAGAACUUCAGCACUUGCUGUUUCUUCAACUUGGAAUAUUUCAUCCACGUGUCCCUCUGAUUUGCCCUCUCACUUCUUGCAGGUCUCUACUAAGAUGACACCUUAUCAGAGAGACUUUCUUUGGCCAUCACAUAUCAAAUAGCAGCCUUCCCACAAUACUGUUUACUUCUUUAAUCUGUUUUAUUGUUCUGCAAUCACUCAACCAUAUCUGAUGUAUAUUUCUCCUUUCUAAGAUUUAAGUAUCAUAACAAAAUUUUGCCUGUUUUGUUUGAACCUAUACAGUACCUUGAAAAGUGGCUGACAGGUAAUCAGUGCCUAAUAAACAUUUUUUGACUGAACGAAUCAAUAAAUAUCUCAGCAACAUACACUUACUUUCCUUUUCCUAAAUCUGUAUCAAUCCUUCCUUUAGUCAUUUCAAAUAUAUUUAUUUAGCAUUUAACACUUGCCAGGCACUGUGGUAGAUGCUGAGGUAAAAAAAAAUUACAUACGAUAUAUUCUUUGUCUUUAAAGAACUGGCAGUCUGGUGGGACAUGUGGACAAUUCAUGAUUACAAUAUUUUGCCUGAGUAUUCUGCUAGAGGCCAGUACAAUAUGCUCUGGAGGAACACAAAAGAAGCAUCUAGCUCUGUCUGGGUGCCAGGAAGGGGAGGGGUGGGGCUGG
rnacentral:lncRNA from 10 species